rnacentral:lncRNA from 1 species
GUUCGGAUUAACAGGCUGGUAAAACGCAUCCUGGAGGGUCUUAAUGGUUUUGUAUAGUCAGGAAAGAUGCCCUAUAUUUAAAGAAAUCCCAUCUGUGUUUUUGAUAACAUUCUGGAACAAGUUCAGUGGCGAUCUUAAGAUCCAUAUGGAUCUUAUUAUAGUCUUUCUUGCUAUGGGACUCUGUGAAUUGAGGUUUGUGCCCAGUGCACCGUGCCAAUAA